UCCGUCAAGGUUUCCUCUCCUGUUAACCAUUCGCGGGAGUUGUGUGUUUCAUUCCAAGCUCCCAGCCUUUCUGUCUGAGUGUCAGUGUUGAAUUUACAGUAAUCGUUAAAACUUUCAGCAACGGAUCUCUUGGUUCUCGCAUCGAUGAAGAGCGCAGCGAAAUGCGAUAAGUAGUGUGAAUUGCAGAAUUCCGUGAAUCAUCGAGUUCUUGAACGCAUAUUGCGCCUUCAGGUAUUCCUGAAGGCAUGCCUGUUCGAGCGUCAUCAAACAUCCCGUCAAUGAUCGGUUUCGGCCAUGCCACCGGUUCUUGGUUUUGAUCGAAGAGCGGACGCGAUGCAAAGCCGUUCUUGAUUGAAUUAUAUUUGCAAAGGUUGGAAUGCACGAUUCGGCGUGAUAAUUCUUCAUGUCGUCCGAGUUCGUCUCUGCUUUGCUUCAUGCCGGUUCCGAAUCUCGGAGCCAAUCUACCGUUAUGACCUCGGAUCAGGUAAGAGUACCCGCUGAACUUAAGCAUAUCAAUAAGCGGAG
rnacentral:rRNA from 1 species